GACGGAGGGUGCAAGCGUUAUCCGGAUUCACUGGGUUUAAAGGGUGUGUAGGCGGGCUUUUAAGUCAGUGGUGAAAUCUCCGGGCUCAACCCGGAAACUGCCAUUGAUACUAUUAGUCUUGAAUAUUGUUGAGGUAGGCGGAAUAUGUCAUGUAGCGGUGAAAUGCUUAGAUAUGACAUAGAACACCGAUUGCGAAGGCAGCUUGCUAGACAAUUAUUGACGCUGAGGCACGAAAGCGUGGGGAUCAAACAGG
rnacentral:rRNA from 1 species